AACGGGCCAACGAGUUACGUUAAGUAGCAAGGUUAAGCACUUAAGGUGCGGAGCCGUAGCGAAAGCGAGUUUUAACUGAGCGUUCAGUUACUUGACGUAGACCCGAAACCGGGCGACCUACCCAUGAGCAGGAUGAAGCGAAAGUAAAAUUUCGUGGAGGUCCGAACCCACGAGCGUUGAAAAGCUCGGGGAUGACUUGUGGGUAGCGGUGAAAUUCCAAUCGAGCCCGGAGAUAGCUGGUUCUCCCCGAAAUAGCUUUAGGGCUAGCCUCAAGGUGAGAGAUACGGAGGUAGAGCACUGAAUGUCCUAGGGGGUAUUGCACCUACCGAAGACUAUCAAACUCCGAAUGCCGUCAUCUUAUACUUGGGAGUCAGACUGUGGGUGAUAAGAUUCAUAGUCGAAAGGGCAACAGCCCAGAUCGUCAGCUAAGGUCCCUAAAUGUAAGUUAAGUGGUAAAGGAUGUGGGAUUGCACAGACAACCAGGAUGUUGGCUUAGAAGCAGCCACUCAUUCAAAGAGUGCGUAAUAGCUCACUGGUCGAGUGAUCCUGCGCCGAAGAUUUCCGGGGCUAAAACUUACUACCGAAGCUACGGCAUCAGUAAUGAUGGGUAGGGGAGCUUCCCAUACGGGUUGAAGCAUGACCGUAAGGACAUGUGGACAGUAUGGGAGUGAGAAUGUUGGCAUGAGUAGCGAGAUGUGGGUGAGAAUCCCACAGGCCGUAAACCCAAGGUUUCCAGGGGAAGGUUCGUCCGCCCUGGGUUAGUCGGGACCUAAGCUGAGGCCGAAAGGCGUAGGUGAUGGACAACAGGUUGAUAUUCCUGUACUACCGAUAACCGUUUGAGAGAAGGGAUGACACAGUAGGAUAAGCUAAGCACACUGUUGGUUAUGUGUGCCCAAGCAUUGAGGCAGUCAAAGUAGGCAAAUCCGCUUUGAUAAUGCUGGGAUGUGAUGGGGAGCGAAAUUUAGUAGCGAAGUAGCUGAUUUCACACUGUCAAGAAAAGUCUCUAUCGAGGUUAAAGGUACCCGUACCGCAAACCGACACAGGUGGGUGAGGAGAGUAUCCUAAGGCCAGCGAGAGAACUGUUGUUAAGGAACUCGGCAAAAUGACCCCGUAACUUAGGGAUAAGGGGUGCCACCAUCAGGUGGCCGCAGAGAAUAGGCCCAAGCGACUGUUUACCAAAAACAUAGGUUUCUGCUAAGUCGCAAGACGAUGUAUAGGAGCUGACGCCUGCCCGGUGCUGGAAGGUUAAGGGGAUCUGUUAGAGCAAUCGAAGCAGUGAACUUAAGCCCCAGUAAACGGCGGCCGUAACUAUAACGGUCCUAAGGUAGCGAAAUUCCUUGUCGGGUAAGUUCCGACCCGCACGAAAGGCGUAACGAUUUGGGCACUGUCUCAACAACAGACUCGGUGAAAUUGUAAUUCCGGUGAAGAUGCCGGAUACCUGCGACAGGACGGAAAGACCCCAUGGAGCUUUACUGUAGCUUGACAUUGGGUCUUGGUACUACAUGUACAGGAUAGGUGGGAGGCUUUGAAACCAGGACGCCAGUUUUGGCGGAGCCAUCCUUGGGAUACCACCCUUGUAGUACUGGGACUCUAACCAUAGGCCAUGAAUCUGGUCUUGGGACACUGUCAGGUGGGCAGUUUGACUGGGGCGGUCGCCUCCCAAAAGGUAACGGAGGCGCUCAAAGGUUCUCUCAGUACGGUCGGAAAUCGUACGUAGAGUGUAAAGGCAAAAGAGAGCUUGAUUGCAAGACAUACAGGUCGAGCAAGGAUGAAAAUCGGACUUAGUGAUCCGGUGGUUCUGCGUGGAAGGGCCAUCGCUCAACGGAUAAAAGCUACCCUGGGGAUAACAGGCUUAUCUCCCCCAAGAGUCCACAUCGACGGGGAGGUUUGGCACCUCGAUGUCGGCUCAUCACAUCCUGGGGCUGUAGUAGGUCCCAAGGGUUGGGCUGUUCGCCCAUUAAAGUGGUACGCGAGCUGGGUUCAGAACGUCGUGAGACAGUUCGGUCCCUAUCCGUCGCAGGCGUAGGAAAUUUGAGAAGACCUGUCCUUAGUACGAGAGGACCGGGAUGGACG
rnacentral:rRNA from 1 species